UAGGGAAUAUUGGGCAAUGGAGGCGACUCUGACCCAGCCAUGCCGCGUGCAGGAAGAAGGCGCUACGCGUUGUAAACUGCUUUUUUUCGGGAAGAAAAAGCUUCUGCGGAAGUCACUGACGGUACCGAAGGAAUCAGCACCGGCUAACUCCGUGCCAGCAGCCGCGGUAAUACGGAGGGUGCAAGCGUUGUCCGGAUUCAUUGGGUUUAAAGGGUGCGCAGGCGGGCGAUUAAGUCAGGGGUGAAAGACGGUUGCUCAACAAUCGCAGUGCCUUUGAUACUGGUUGUCUUGGGUGACCUUGAGGUAGGCGGAAUGGGUGGUGUAGCGGUGAAAUGCAUAGAUACCACCCAGAACUCCGAUUGCGAAGGCAGCCUACUGGAGGUUCACCGACGCUCAGGCACGAAAGCGUGGGGAUCAAACAG
rnacentral:rRNA from 1 species